CCAGGAUGUGUGAGUUAGUGGGAAAAAAAAAAAAAAGAAGAAGAAACAAACUUAAAUUACCUGUUGUCUUCUAAAUGCUUAAAGGGAAAAUCCAGUAAACACCAGAUAAAAACUUAAGGAUGAGAUAUUAUGGCUGCUCAGGAGGAGGGAAAAAUGGUUGUAUUGAUUCAACCAUAUGACUUUCUUACAAAUCAUACAAAGUCUAACAUCUGUCACCCCGUUGCUGAGUUGAUUCCUGUAGCAGGUGCUGGGAUCCAUCCACACGCCAAGUGACAGGACGCUAGAGUUGGCUGCAUCCGUAAAGACCCCAAUCCCAGAAAAAAGACAAAAUCUGCCCCAAAAAUGGCUGAAAAUUAAAAAGGAAUGUAAAGAACAAAAAAAAAUCAUAGAGAAGAAAUUUGAGGCAACGUUAAUGAAAGACAAACCUGACUUCCACCAGCAACAAAAGAAAGGUGAGGAGGACACAGGUAAAUAGAAAGACACUACAAGGAACAACUAUAAUCUACUAAACUCAAUGGUUAUAAAAGGAACCUGCAAAGACAUCGCUCAAAGCAAUAACGUUUGAUGCUGGAAUUCUAACUUCGAGAUUUCAGAACUGUGUUUUAUGAAGUUCUAAGCUACGACUCUUCCCAACUCACCUUCCCAUCCAGCCUUUAGCUAGCAUAUGUCUAAUUUUAUCAGGUUCACCAUAUUUUAUCUGGAAGCAGGGUUGUUCUGCUAAUGAAAACUAAACAAAAACACUGUUUUAAAGUUUUAGACAUCCUAUUUUGUCACUGUUUUUGUUUGUUUGGUUGGUUUUUGUUAACCUAACUAACAGCAAAAUAAUGAAACAACCACAUACCCAAGUACUUACAGCAUCCUUAAGGAAAAACAUUCACUCCGUGACUUUGCCACUUCUACUCUGGAUGAAAAAAGUAUAGUGCUAAUACUAAUCUCUUCAACCAAGUCCACUGGGAACUAUAAUUCCAUUUGGGGCAUGACAAGCAAAAUUUUACUGGGAUCUGCAUAGGACAAUGGUAAAAACAGAUUAUUAAUCAUCAGCCAGAAAUAUAUUUAAGUAUUUUGUGCUUAAAGGGUUUUAAAAAAAUAAAAGAAACACACUGAUCCCGAGAGAAGACUGAUUUUGUAAGAGAAUAAUUGGCUGCCGCUCUACUUAAGGUCUCUUUUCCUCUUAGAAAAGUGGAAGUCCCUUUAGGUUGAUUUUUUGCUGUUGUUUUAAGGCCCGAGAAAGGCCUUGCCAGUAACUAAAUAGUAACAGCAGACUUCUGAACAGAUGGACUAGAACCAGAUGUCAAAAGCAAAUUGACACAUCAUGAGACCGUUCCCUCCCCUCAACAGUAGCAAGGUAUCCCUUACGAUGAUGGGCUGGCCCUUUGCCAGCCAUGCCUGAGGCAGAAGGUGUCUGGGAUAGUUUGAAAUCAAGGCAUGCCACAGGGAAUGACCAUGAAGAAACAAGAAAAGAAGGCUUGUCUAUUCCACCACUGCUUUAAAAGUAAUAUCUCUCAGAUGCAUGCUCAAUAUUCUUUGAAGGAAUUGAAUAAGAUCCAUUCCUUCCAAAAAUUUGAAGACAGAACAAGAGCUAACCAGAGACACUCCUUCAUCAACAAACUGAGCUGGCUGCUUCUCAUGAAACUCAGAGAGUGAUGACUGUAUAGGAUCUGGCCUCCAGCCUUCAAGACUCAAAAAUCUGAUUUUGACAGCAUUCUGAGGAGGAAUCCAUCCCUUGGGGGUGGACUCACAGUAGAUUGAUGUAAAACACAGGAUGCUAAUGGCCAUAUUUAAAAAGAGAAAUAUAAACAACACAAGGACCAAAGUCCUCAUAUUUGUUGACUAGAGUAUUCUUCCCCAACAGGCACACACCUCCGGGAAUCCAAAUUAUGAUCAGAAACUUAUAUGGUUAGCAUAGACUCAGAAAAAGAUGUAUUAGCUAGAUGAUUUCAAUUCUCUCAUGAUAGCAGACAAAAAUGCCUGCUGCCUCUAUCUUCAAAGGAGAGUUGAUCUCAGCAAUGACAAGUGGUAUCACUGAUACUCUUUCUCCUGGGCAGUGCUCAGCCACAACAUGCCAACGUUCACUUCCAUGAUUGUAAGUCCUCUGAGAAGCUCAGGGACAUCGUCUAUGUUGUUCAUCACUGUAUCCCAUGUUUGGCACCUGGAAUGGGAGAACUUAAGUAUCGAACACGAAAGAAAAAAUUAAAAUGGAUGUUCCUAUCGAUUGACUUAUGCUCUUUUAUCAACCAUCUGGACUUGCUCCUGUGCUAGAAAUGUCAAAGGUA